rnacentral:tRNA from 1 species
GUAGCGCAGUGGUCAGCGUGCUCAUCUGCAAAGUAGGAAGUCGUGGGUUCGACGCCCAUC